rnacentral:rRNA from 1 species
ACAAGGGCCCUAGUCCUACGGGAUGCAGCAGGCGCGAAACCUCUGCAAUGCGCGAAAGCGUGACAGGGGAACUCUGAGUGCUACACCACGCGUGUAGCUUUUUGCAAGCUUAAGUCGCUUGUAGAAUAAGGGCUGGGUAAGACCAGUGUCAGCCGCCGCGGUAACACUGGCGGCCCUAGUGGUGUCCACGAAUAUUGGGUCUAAAGAGUCCGUAGCUGGCCCGUUAAGUUUCCUGUGAAAUCUCAGGCUCAACCUUGAGGCUUGCAGGAAAUACUGGCGAGGCUUGAGAGCGGGGGAGGUCAAGAGUACUCAUGGGGUAACGGUAAAAUGCUUUUGUUUGCAAACAAAAACUUGUAAGCAAAGCUUACAAUGUUGUAAUCCCAUGAGGACUUCCAGUGGCGAAGGCGUUUGACCAAAACGCGUCUGACAGUGAGGGACGAAGGCUAGGAGAACGAAUCGGAUUAGAUACCCGAGUAGCCCUAGCAGUAAAUGAUGCAGACUGUGGUGUUGCAAUGGCUUCGAGCCGUUGCAGUGCCGUAGCGUAGGUGUUAAGUCUGCCACCUGGGGAGUACGGCCGCAAGGCUGAAACU